GACGAACGCUGGCGGCGUGCUUAACACAUGCAAGUCGAGCGGUAAGGCCCUUUCGGGGUACGACGAGCGGCGAACGGGUGAGUAACACGUGGGUGACCUGCCCUCAGCUCUGGGAUAAGCCUGGGAAACCGGGUCUAAUACUGGAUAUGACUCCAUGACGCAUGUUGUGGGGUGGAAAGCCUUGUGCGGCUGAGGAUGGGCCCGCGGCCUAUCAGCUUUGUUGGUGGGGUGAGGCCUACCAAGGCGACGACGGGUAGCCGGCCUGAGAGGGCGACCGGCCACACUGGGACUGAGACACGGCCCAGACUCCUACGGGAGGCAGCAGUGGGGAAUCUUGCGCAAUGGGCGAAAGCCUGACGCAGCGACGCCGCGUGAGGGAUGACGGCCUCGGUUGUAA
rnacentral:rRNA from 1 species